rnacentral:rRNA from 1 species
UCGAGAAUAUUCCACAAUGGGCGAAAGCCUGAUGGAGCGACGCCGCGUGCAGGAAGAAGGCCUUCGGGUUGUAAACUGCUUUUUUAAGAGAAAAAGCUUCGGUUGAUUGUACCUUAGGAAUAAGGGGUUCCUAACUCUGUG